UUAUAAUAUGCUUCGAGAGAAAAAAGAAAAAAAAAAAAUUCUCGCUGAACCAAAACCCUAAUUGUAAUCUUUCUCUUUUCGUUGCCGUCUCCAGCGAUUCUAUUAUGUUCCCUUUUCUGAAUCUAUUAUCUUCCCUUUCUGUUGUUGAAUCCAUUCUCUUCCCUUUCUGUUGUUAUACAAUGGUGUCUAGCAGUGGGCCAUAGGAAAUAGAGGGUUUCGAUUCAUGUUUUUGGCGAUGUUGAGUACAUUCACACUAACACACACAUCCCUUAAACCCCUGUUCUCUUCCGAUCUCUUUUUCUUCUCAUCGGGUACGAUUUUACAGAUUUCUUCUUUGAGUGUUUUUUUAGGUGUGGGAGUUGGGGUUUAUCUAGAUAAUUUGAACGAAAAUUUAUAAUUCAAGGCUGAAGAGGAGCUAGGUCAUGAACCGACUCAAAACCAAAGGAAAAUACUUGGAAACUCCGGAAAUCUUACCGAGGACGGAGGACCAGUGACAAGUGUGACAGAGAGCGGGCAAAAACUCUAAUUUUGGUUAAAGCUGUGUAGUGGGUCGAUAUUUCAUGUGUUGCUAUCUCAGUUCAUCGUAGAAGGGUCUAAAAAGGGGGCUAUAGAAGGGAAGUUCUCCUCUCAAGGAAUGCUUCAAAGGUGUACUUCCACCUGAACAUACCCGAAGUUCAUGAAAUAAGAGGACUAUUGGCGUUGUUUCACAAAAUGAUAAUGGAAGUGCAAAAAACCGUGACGGUCAAAAACAAUUUGAAUAUAAAAUCUUGACAGUGAAUGGAAGGCGCUGAGAACCACGUAUAGUGGUGUAGUUAUGGAAGACUCGGCUCCUUGCCAAGUUCGCUUACCAGGAUUUGAAGUAUUUCGAUCAUGCAUUUCACAGUAUGGAGAAAAAGGCUGCGAUUUAUAAUUAUUGGAGUUAAAUUCAACGGAAAAACUGAGAAGAAAAGAUUAUAAUUUUCUUUAUUUAACAAAGCUGCACUCAUCGGGGCAUCGAGGCACAUGCUUCAUUCCACAGAUGAAUAUACCAGCCAGAAAAUAUCAAGGUAGUGAGGUCUAUAUAGAAAGCUUAUGAGGAACUGUAGUUAGAGACUUAUCCGUAAAGGGGAUGAAGAGAGGUGCUGCCAAAGAAAUCGAACAGAUGAGGAGGUAUAUGUAGUUGUUUUCCAAUGAAGUUGGGAUGCCUGUCCGAAUGCAAGCCUUGCGUCCUCUGUUCCUGCUCUUAGAUUGUAAAAGCUCCUUACGAAAUGAGUGUGGAGGAAAGGCUCAAAGCUCCUAUUUAUGCCACAUAUAGUUCGCAGGGACAAUGGUGUUUUCCCACAUCGACGGCCAUCUACAGUUCGGACACAUAAAGAAGGGUCCUGAUUGAACCACUUACUCUAGACAUUUGUGUUUUUCCUGUUGGACGGUGACCUACAUUUUGAACAGUUAAAGGACGGUCCAGAAUAAAACUUAUUCUAACACUCCAAUAACACAUUUUCCCUUCGCAUUACUAGUCUCUAGCUCUUCCGUUACUCAUCCCGUUAAUUUCCAAAUUAAUUUCAAGUUUCCUUCCAUCAAUGGCAGAGGCGUUAUGCAUGUGCAAGGGGUUUUGCCGUAAUCUUCGACCACUCGGGGUAGGAAGUGCAGAAACUUUGUAUCUGGUUUUGCCGUUUUCUUCGACCACUCGGGGUAGGAAGUGCAGAAACUUUGUAUCUAUUUAUCUCCUAACGCCAGUAUGUCCAAUCAGGGUAUUGAAUAGAUGUAGUUACCAAUGUCACCAACCAGAAAAACCUCUCUGAAAUUUUGAUGGCAAGAUGGGACCCAAACUUGUGGGUCCAAGAUAUAGUUUGCAGAGCCUAUGCUACCAAAAUAGUUUGCGAGAGUGUGUGGCACUAUCAAGGUUGCAGUAUCUUCUGUACGGAAGUAUUAGCGGAAGAAUGUUAUCUUUGGUGCAACAGGUGCGAAGCUAGAGUCCCUGAUCCACCCAGGGUGGAUGUCGGGCAGGAAAGGAAUAGUUCCCUAUGCAUAUGGUUAUGAUCUUCCAGCCAUAUAACAUAUUAUUCUAUUUGGCUGGCAGGUAGGUUUAAGUGUGAUGUCAUCUCCUAUUUGGCUGGCAGGUUGUUGGUUUCGGCCAUUUAGUUACGCAUGACAGGGUUUGUACAUUGGGUAAUUCAGUCAAUCGUAUCACCUGAAAUUGUAGGUUAGCGGUUAACAAAAUGAUGGUUUGGUUUCUUACAAUUAUCAUGAGUACAGAUCCUUAUUUUCUCAUUGCCUGAUCUUUUUUGUCCUUCAGAUUACUGCCUUAUGACAAAUUCUUGAAAGUUGCAGUAUGUUAAAGAGACACCUGAAUGAGUUAUUUAUAUUUGUGUACCACUCUUUAUUACUGUGGCUGGCUUAAUAUAACAAAGUUUUCGACCUCUGAA